CAGUAGCCACGGUAAUACGGAGGAUCCGAGCGUUAUCCGGAAUUAUUGGGUUUAAAGGGUGCGUAGGCGGAUAGAUAAGUCAGUGGUGAAAGACGGUGGCUCAACCAUCGCAGUGCCGUUGAUACUGUUUAUCUUGAAUAUGGAUGAGGUAGGCGGAAUGUGGCAAGUAGCGGUGAAAUGCAUAGAUAUGCCACAGAACACCGAUUGCGAAGGCAGCUUACCAAGGCAAAAUUGACGCUGAGGCACGAAAGCGUGGGGAUCGAACAGGAUUAGAUACCCCCGUAGUCCCUGUCUCUUAUAA
rnacentral:rRNA from 1 species